CAGUAGCCACGGUAAUACGUAGGUGGCAAGCGUUGUCCGGAUUUAUUGGGCGUAAAGCGAGCGCAGGCGGUCAAUUAAGUCUGAUGUGAAAGCCCCCGGCUCAACCGGGGAGGGUCAUUGGAAACUGGUUGACUUGAGUGCAGAAGAGGAGAGUGGAAUUCCAUGUGUAGCGGUGAAAUGCGUAGAUAUAUGGAGGAACACCAGUGGCGAAGGCGACUCUCUGGUCUGUAACUGACGCUGAGGCUCGAAAGCGUGGGUAGCAAACAGGAUUAGAUACCCCCGUAGUCCCUGUCUCUUAUAU
rnacentral:rRNA from 1 species